rnacentral:rRNA from 1 species
UACGGAGGGUGCAAGCGUUAAUCGGAAUUACUGGGCGUAAAGCGUGCGCAGGCGGUUUGUUAAGUCUGCUGUGAAAUCCCCGAGCUCAACUUGGGAAUUGCAGUGGAUACUGGCAGGCUGGAGUAUGGUAGAGGAAGGUGGAAUUCCCGGUGUAGCAGUGAAAUGCGUAGAGAUCGGGAGGAACACCAGUGGCGAAGGCGGCCUUCUGGACCAAUACUGACGCUCAUGCACGAAAGCGUGGGAGCAAACAGG